UAGAGAAAUAAUUUUUCUGUUUAUUUACGUUUUUUUUAUAGAAAAAAAAAUAAAAUGCAGUUGUAAAAUACAUAUUUGUUGUUUUUUUUUAUGAAGUUUAAGCUUCACGAGUCGUUUCGUUGGUAGUUCAAUAAUUUUAUUAAGAUAAACUCUCGCUUUUUGCUAAUUUUCCUUUUUAUAUAAAAUAAAUUAACUUAAAAUAAAAUAUAUAUUUUGUGUUCGUUGAUAUGGCAUUGGCAGCAAACACCCGAGAAAAAAUUUUUCUUGUAGGCUAUCCGUCUCAUCAAAUUACAGGGUGUAAAUUACCCUCAAAUCGUCAAGUUUUGUCAACACUAUUUUUUAAUUUGCGAAUUGUAAAAUUAAAUUUAAAGGAAUCUGCAAGACUUGUCAUUCGAGAGGUACUUAUUUUUUGGGAAAAAGCCAGAAUUCAAACAAAAUAUGAAAAAGAUGCCAUUGUUAAAUUAGAAAAACUUUACAAUGAGUGGAGAAAUCACCAACGAAAUAAAAACAAAACGCUUGAAAGCACCAAAAAUAAAAUAAAAGAAUUUGCGUUGAAAAUGGACGAUCUCUUUGAUAUAGCACAUCGAGAUGCCUUGACCAUUACUGAAAAAAAACGCAGAAUUGAAGAAUUCAGAUUUGAUAUUG